ensembl:miRNA MIR4475 microRNA 4475
AUCUCAAUGAGUGUGUGGUUCUAAAUGACUCAUAGUCAAGGGACCAAGCAUUCAUUAUGAA